AUUGAACGCUGGCGGCAGGCCUAACACAUGCAAGUCGAGCGGAUGAAGGGAGCUUGCUCCUGGAUUCAGCGGCGGACGGGUGAGUAAUGCCUAGGAAUCUGCCUGGUAGUGGGGGAUAACGUCCGGAAACGGGCGCUAAUACCGCAUACGUCCUGAGGGAGAAAGUGGGGGAUCUUCGGACCUCACGCUAUCAGAUGAGCCUAGGUCGGAUUAGCUAGUUGGUGGGGUAAAGGCCUACCAAGGCGACGAUCCGUAACUGGUCUGAGAGGAUGAUCAGUCACACUGGAACUGAGACACGGUCCAGACUCCUACGGGAGGCAGCAGUGGGGAAUAUUGGACAAUGGGCGAAAGCCUGAUCCAGCCAUGCCGCGUGUGUGAAGAAGGUCUUCGGACUGUAAAGCACUUUAAGUUGGGAGGAAGGGCAGUAAGUUAAUACCUUGCUGUUUUGACGUUACCAACAGAAUAAGCACCGGCUAACUUCGU
rnacentral:rRNA from 1 species